UCCUUCCUUCCCCUCGAAGGCAGCCCAGCUCUUCCUCUUCGGCUCCUCUCACACGCAUCCUUUCCUUCCUCUCUCGUCCCCUCCCUGGUGCUCCGCCGCCGCCUUCUUUCUCCACCAAAUCUACCCCGUCCCAUCAUCCUCAUCCACGGCCAUCGAGUGAAGGAGCCUGAGCAGGUGAGGGGGUGGCUCUGGGAGUCGGCGGUGUCUCCAGAGCGGUCGAGAGGCGUUGGGUCAAAGGCGUCGUGCCUCGAUGGCCGGGAUCGGGCAAGUCAGAUGGGAAGCAGCGAUGCCGGAAAUUGUUCGCUGCGCCUCCACCUUGUCCCCAGCCCUUCUACGAGCACUUUCUCUUGUCCACGGGAGCCCCCUUUCCACCGAGCUCCAGAUCCAUGACACUAGCAGCGAGGUGAGCAGCGGCAAAGGCUACCACCUAGCAACUCCUCUUUCCUCGUCUUUCAUCCUCUCCAACCCGUCUGGAGGAUACAGUUGAUGAUGUAGUUGAAGAUGAAUGGGUUCUUACUAAGAUACAUCUGUAUAUGUAUGUGGUUUCUUUGCUUCGGUUGAAGAUAUAUGUGUGGCUUAAAGAUAUAUCUGAAGUUAAAUUUCCAAGACAUACCAUCCGUCAGUGAUUAUGUAUUAAUGAUUGUUGGGAACUCC